GACGAACGCUGGCGGCAUGCCUAACACAUGCAAGUCGAACGGGGGUAGCAAUACCCUAGUGGCGAACGGGUGAGUAACACGUGAGCAACCUGCCUCAUACACCGGGAUAACAGUUGGAAACGACUGCUAAUACCGGAUAAGACCACAUCGGGGAGUCCCGAAGGGGUCAAAGUGAUUUAGCGGUAUGAGAUGGGCUCGCGUCCAAUUAGCUAGUUGGUGAGGUAACGGCCCACCAAGGCGACGAUUGGUAGCCGACUUGAGAGAGUGAUCGGCCACAUUGGAACUGAGAUACGGUCCAAACUCCUACGGGAGGCAGCAGUGGGGAUAUUGGGCAAUGGAGGAAACUCUUACCCAGCAAUGCCGCGUGAGUGAUGAAGGUCUUAUGGAUUGUAAAGCUCUUUGAUUGGGGACGAAGAAAGUGACGGUACCCAAGGAACAAGCCCCGGCUAACUAUGUG
rnacentral:rRNA from 1 species